CGGUCCAAACUCCUACGGGAGGCAGCAGUGAGGAAUAUUGGUCAAUGGGCGAAAGCCUGAACCAGCUAUGUAGCGUGAAGGAUGACUGCCCUAUGGGUUGUAAACUUCUUUUGUUCGGGAAUAACAGACUUCACUUGUGGAGUUUUGCAUGUACCGUUCGAAUAAGGAUCGGCUAACUCCGUGCCAGCAGCCGCGGUAAUACGGAGGAUCCUAGCGUUAUUCGGAUUUAUUGGGUUUAAAGGGAGCGUAGGCGGGGGGUCAAGUCAGCUGUGAAAUACGUACGCUUAACGUUCGUCUUGCGGUUGAAACUGGUUUUCUUGAGUGCGUAUGAGGCAGGCGGAAUUCGUGGUGUAGCGGUGAAAUGCUUAGAUAUCACGAGGAACUCCAAUUGCGAAAGCAGCUUGCUAGGCCGCUACUGACGCUGAUGCUCGAAGGUGCGGGUAUCAAACAGGAUUAGAUACCCUGGUAGUCCGCACAGUAAACGAUGAACACUCGCUAUCGGCGAUACACUGCCGGUGGCCAAGCGAAAGCGUUAAGUGUCCCACCUGGGGGAGUACG
rnacentral:rRNA from 1 species